rnacentral:rRNA from 1 species
GAUGAACGCUAGCGGCAGGCCUAAUACAUGCAAGUCGGACGGGAUUGGAGAGCUUGCUUUCCAUGAGAGUGGCGCACGGGUGCGUAACACGUAUGUAACCUACCUUUAUCAGGGGGAUAGCCUCUCGAAAGAGAGAUUAAGCCCGCAUAAUAUGAAGACACAGCAUUGUGAUUUCAUCAAAUAUUUAUAGGAUAAAGAUGGGCAUGCGGAACAUUAGCUAGUUGGUAAGGUAAUGGCUUACCAAGGCUACGAUGUUUAGGGGAUCUGAGAGGAUGACCCCCCACACUGGUACUGAGACACGGACCAGACUCCUACGGGAGGCAGCAGUAAGGAAUAUUGGUCAA